GCCAUUUCUGCUUAAUUGAGUUCAGUCAGUAGUUAGGUCUGCCUCUUGCAGUGAACAGAAUAAAGCAGCCUAUGGUUCACUCCCAGGGGCCACCACACAAGUGUGUCCAUGCAGCUGGAAUUUCAGGUGUGUCACCCUGGAGCUGAGGCCUCCAGAUGGACUCGUAGAAGGGAGAUGUGUAAGGCUCCAUCCCUCAGCAGCCCACGAUCUCUGAAGGUUUGCCACUGUGGCCAAUGUUUUAUGGAAGCUUCUGAGGCCGUAGAGCAGAGGGAAGUUCUGAGCACACGGAGGACAAGCCAGGGUGGUGCUGUGUGGCCGCAAACAACCCUAAGUAGGGGAUACGUGUGGGGGACAGGCUCUAACACCUUGAUUCCUUAUGUCUGUGUCUCUGCAGUAUGUUUCAUGGAGAGUCUGAGUGACAGCAACCAUGAUGAAAGUGAUACAGACUCAGUGGUGGAGAGCAUGAGCAGCCGCCAGGAUGAGGAGGCUGCAGCAACCCUCGAUGAUGUUGUGGAGGCCGGCGGGAGUGAGAAGACGGAGGAAGAGGCCCUGGCUGGGGCAAAUGAGGAGGAGGUGGGGCCGGGAACUGAGAAGGUGCAGGAGGAGGCUGCCUGCAUUGACGAGGCAGAGGAGGAGGCAGGCCCAUCCCUUGAAAAUGACGAGGAGUCCCCAGCCAGCGACCUGGUUGAGCAGGAAGACCAGCUUGCCCCCAAGGUAAGCUCACCUUUCUUGAUCGGAGAUUUAAAAAGGUGCCUCCUUUCUUCUUGG
rnacentral:lncRNA from 1 species